GCCUGGGUGGUUCAGUUGGUUGAGCAUCUGACUUCUGCUCAGGUCAUGAUCUCACAGCUUAUGGGUUCAAGCCCCACAUCAGGCC
rnacentral:tRNA from 1 species